CUUGCUGAAAGUAUUUUGAGAUAAUCAUAAAAACUAUAAGGAUUAAUUAAUGAUCAAAAUAAUCUGAAAUUACAUGUUAACAAUUUGGUUGUAUCUUGCCAAUUCAUGAAUUUAUUUUUAUAUCAAACUUAUGAUGAAAAUCUGCUUGCCUAUUUGUAUGGGCGUGCUGUCAUUACAUAUAUACACUUUCCAUAUUCUUGUUUCGCAUCUAAUGUAAUGUAUGAACAACAAAUGCAUUGAUGAUAGUUUAUAUAUAAAUAAUGAGUACGAUAUUUAAAAGAUUUUUGACGAUGACCUUUAAUGUAUAACAUUUACUUCAGAGCAAGGAGACUCUACAACCUCCUUGAGGAAUAGUGGAAUAGUACAAUAUAUUUUCAUCCGUUUGAACUGUCG
rnacentral:lncRNA from 1 species